UACAGAGGGUGCGAGCGUUGUUCGGAAUUAUUGGGCGUAAAGGGCGCGUAGGCGGUGCCACAAGUCACCUGUGAAAUCUCUGGGCUUAACUCAGAGCCUGCGGGCGAAACUGUGGUGCUGGAGUAUGGGAGAGGUGCGUGGAAUUCCCGGUGUAGCGGUGAAAUGCGUAGAUAUCAGGAGGAACACCGGCGGCGAAGGCGGCCCUCUGGACCAUAACUGACGCUGAUGCACGAAAGCUAGGGGAGCAAACAGG
rnacentral:rRNA from 1 species